rnacentral:lncRNA from 1 species
UACCAGGUAAGGUCAAAUUCCUCUUCCACGAUUUGGACCUUCAGGUUCCCCAGUGAAGGUGCAUGUUUGGGGGCAGAAGAACUCCAUUGCAAACUUUGGGCACUCACAGUUCUUCAGGUGUCUCUUGGAGCAUGCAGUGGCAACCCACUUCCUUCAAAGGGUCCGUGGAUUCACUUGGCUUUCCUGAGGAGAAAGCUGAAGCACCAGAUGGUUAAAAGGACUGUUCAAGACAGCCUUGCAAUUUUGACCAAGGAAGAAAGCUGAAGAGUGCUAGGGCAAGAGAGGAACUACGUCCAGAACAAUUCAUAAUUCCAAAUUCUCACUUCCAUGAUUUCAAUGCUGAAUGUGUACUUCUCUAGCUAAAAAUACAAUUGCUUAAGUAAAAUCAUCAUUAUUUACAGUCUUGCUGAAUUGUGGUGUUGUUAUUAACCAGAAACAACAGCUUAAGUCAUUGUGUUUUGAAAUACUUGAUUUAUUAUCCUGAUUGUUUGAAAAUGCUACCUGAAAUUUUUCCUGGCACUUUUGAGUCAUUCUCACCAGGUACACACAUCUGGUGUUUCUCCAUGACACAGUAGCUGUUCCCCCUUUAAUUUCUUUCUUCUUCCUAACAGACACUGGAGUUAUAAUAUCAAACUUCCAUUCAUGAUGAAUAUUUGAACUACCAUGGAGACUGAGAGUCCAGGGAAGAAAAUAUGUCCUGUUGAUAUGUAUCUCAAUGCAUCUUCCUUUCUAUCUUCUUCCUGGGGCAGCCUCACAUAUAAUUCAG